AUACAGCGAAACUGCGAAUGGCUCAUUAUAUAAGUUAUCGUUUAUUUGAUAGUACCUUACUACUUGGAUAACCGUGGUAAUUCUAGAGCUAAUACAUGCUGAAAAUCCCGACUCCGGAAGGGAUGUAUUUAUUAGAUUCAAAACCAAUGCCCUCUGGGCUCACUGGUGAUUCAUGAUAACUCCUCGAAUCGCACGGCCUUGCGCCGGCGAUGGUUCAUUCAAAUUUCUUCCCUAUCAACUUUCGAUGUUUGGGUAGUGGCCAAACAUGGUUGCAACGGGUAACGGAGGGUUAGGGCUCGACCCCGGAGAAGGAGCCUGAGAAACGGCUACUACAUCCAAGGAAGGCAGCAGGCGCGCAAAUUACCCAAUCCCGACACGGGGAGGUAGUGACAAUAAAUACUGAUACAGGGCUCUUUUGGGUCUUGUAAUUGGAAUGAGUACAAUUUAAAUCCCUUAACGAGGAACAAUUGGAGGGCAAGUCUGGUGAACGCACGCUGGUGCCAGAGAGAGCCACCCCUCCGGGAGAGAAGAGAAGCGAAGACAGUGGCUAGUCGAGCGCCCGCUGAGCGACGGGUGGGCGCCGGCGAGACAACCUGGGUCGGGGGACGCUAAGGGCCCGCGCGGGCCUACGCCGACCCCGAGCAGAGCCGCGCGAGCGGCCUGUGUAGAGCGCGCAAAGGUGUCGGUCCCGGCGAUGGCGCCGGGGCUUAAGGUACGCGCCAAUCCCCCGCGAAAGCGGGGCCCCGCGGAGUAGCACCCGUCGUGCGAAGCCGCGGGGGAAGGCCCCCCCCAAUCACACCGGGGGGGGGCCGAGUCGCAGGGCACACGUGCCCUGACGCCACAGGCCAGCAGCCGCGGUAAUUCCAGCUCCAAUAGCGUAUAUUAAAGUUGUUGUGGUUAAAAAGCUCGUAGUUGAACCUUGGGCCUGGCUGGCCGGUCCGCCUCACCGCGUGUACUGGUCCGGCCGGGCCUUUCCCUCUGUGGAACCCCAUGCCCUUCACUGGGCGUGGCGGGGAAACAGGACUUUUACUUUGAAAAAAUUAGAGUGCUCCAGGCAGGCCUAUGCUCGAAUACAUUAGCAUGGAAUAAUGAAAUAGGACGCGCGGUUCUAUUUUGUUGGUUUCUAGGACCGCCGUAAUGAUUAAUAGGGACAGUCGGGGGCAUCAGUAUUCAAUAGUCAGAGGUGAAAUUCUUGGAUCUAUUGAAGACUAACUACUGCGAAAGCAUUUGUCAAGGAUGUUUUCAUUAAUCAGGAACGAAAGUUAGGGGAUCGAAGACGAUCAGAUACCGUCGUAGUCUUAACCAUAAACUAUGCCGACUAGGGAUCGGACGAUGUUAUUUUUUGACUCGUUCGGCACCUUACGAGAAAUCAAAGUGCUUGGGCUCCAGGG
rnacentral:rRNA from 1 species